AUGAUAUUUCUGAAGCUGGAAAAAAUUAUACUUUGGAAUCAGUGCAAGAUGCGUGGAGAAAGCACAAGAGUAGAUUGAAAAAAGAUCACUUUGACGCAUAUCACAAUGAUGAAGCUCGACUGCAAAAUAUCCCUGAAGAUGUUCCAGCUUCUCAGUUUAAGGAACUCCUUAGGUAUUGGAACUCAGAGAAACUCCAAAGAAUGUCCCAAAUUAAUAUUGAAAACCGGAAAAAGUUGAAGAAUCCUCACACUGCUGGAAAACGAAGUUUUGCUUUAGUUCGCUCUAAGUUGGUCUGUAACUAACAAAUCAUGGCAAAAAAUUUCUCAAUUUUGGCUCUUGUUUAGUACAUGGUAGAUCAUGAGGAAUGCUAACUUACUUUCAAGUAACUAGGAAAACGAUAAGGAAACUUCGGAUCCUUUAUCAGCAAAGGAAGUCUUUGUAGCUACAAGAAAAAGGAAAGAUGGGCGAUCAUACAAGUGCUCGGAUGAAGAUAUAACUAGUAAAAUUGCUGAAAUGGAGGAAAUUGAAGCACAACAAAAUGAAAAUGGCAAUGAGUCCGUAGAUGCAUUUGCAUCUGUCAUGGGGACUGAACAUUUGGGACGUCUGAGAUUGUAUGGACGAGGGGUUACAAGAACUUCUUUGAGAGAGAAAGUAGGAUUUUUUGAAUCCUCUUCAAAUACUACAAAUUCUCUACAAAAAACAGAGGAGAAGAUACAAAGAAUGGAGGAAAAAAUUGAGGA